UACAGAGGUCCCAAGCGUUGUUCGGAUUCACUGGGCGUAAAGGGCGCGUAGGCGGAUAGUUUAGUCAGAGGUGAAAGCCCAGGGCUCAACCUUGGAAUUGCCUUUGAUACUGAAGAUCUUGAGUUCGGGAGAGGUGAGUGGAACUGCGAGUGUAGAGGUGAAAUUCGUAGAUAUUCGCAAGAACACCAGUGGCGAAGGCGGCUCACUGGCCCGAUACUGACGCUGAGGCACGAAAGCGUGGGGAGCAAACAGG
rnacentral:rRNA from 1 species